rnacentral:rRNA from 1 species
UACGUAGGGCGCAAGCGUUGUCCGGAAUUAUUGGGCGUAAAGAGCGCGUAGGCGGUCCGGUAAGUCGGUUGUGAAAACUGGGGGCUCAACCCUCAGAGGCCGACCGAUACUGUCGGGCUAGAGUCCGGAAGAGGCGAGUGGAAUUCCAGGUGUAGCGGUGAAAUGCGUAGAUAUCUGGAGGAACACCGGUGGCGAAGGCGGCAUCCUGGACCGGCAUUGACGCUGAGGCGCGAAAGCCAGGGGAGCAAACGGG